UACAGAGGGGGCGAGCGUUGUUCGGAAUUACUGGGCGUAAAGGGCGCGUAGGCGGCCGACUAAGUCAGACGUGAAAUCCCCCGGCUCAACCGGGGAACUGCGUCUGAUACUGGACGGCUCGAAUCCGGGAGAGGGAUGUGGAAUUCCAGGUGUAGCGGUGAAAUGCGUAGAUAUCUGGAGGAACACCGGUGGCGAAGGCGGCAUCCUGGACCGGUAUUGACGCUGAGGCGCGAAAGCCAGGGGAGCAAACGGG
rnacentral:rRNA from 1 species